GAGGGUAUAGCUCAAGUGGUAGAGCACAGGCUUAGCAAACAAAAGGUACUGGGUUCAAUCCCCAGUACCUCCU
rnacentral:tRNA from 1 species